rnacentral:lncRNA from 1 species
CACUUUCAUUCAGGAAGCGUCCUGCCCUCUCCAUACGGCACGGCGCGCGGACGGCAGACUAGCCAAUAUUCAAGGGACCAUACAUUUUCUGCCCC